rnacentral:rRNA from 1 species
UACGUAGGGUGCAGGCGUUAAUCGGAAUUACUGGGCGUAAAGCGUGCGCAGGCGGUUUUGUAAGCCGGAUGUGAAAUCCCCGGGCUUAACCUGGGAAUGGCAUUCGGGACUGCAAGGCUGGAGUGCGGCAGAGGAGACUGGAAUUCCUGGUGUAGCAGUGAAAUGCGUAGAUAAUCAAGAGGAACACCUGAGGUGAAGACGGGUUGCUGGGCCAACACUGACGCUGAGGCGCGAAAGCCAGGGGAGCAAACGGG